GGGGUAAAUUAGGAAUCAAUAUUGGAACAAACUUGCUGAUUCCAUUUGUUUAUAUGGUGACUGUUCAACUUUUAUUACUUUAGAUCACUUUUCAGACACAAUACUUUUUAUAGCUGGACUGUUAAAUAUAACGUGGUAUACAGGUCAUAGGAGCCAUAAAGAAAGGUGUAUUUGUAUUACCACAAUAAAAAUACAAGAUCAGCUGACAAAGUUCAGUGGCAAGUUAUCAUUAUCAUCAUUUAUAUAGCGCAGACAUAUUCCACAGUGCUUUAAAACAAGUGAAAGGGGUAUAGCUAUUAGAGAGCCCUGCUUUCAAUCUAUGUAUAUCAUUAGGUGCCGUGCUCAAGGUCACUUACUGGUAAUGUAAUCUGACCAGGAUUCGAACCUAGGUUUCCCAGUUUUAAAGCAGUGAUGUUACCGCUGCUAAAACCAGCUGAUAGUGGUAGGAGACACCACCUGCUCCACUUGGUGUUCAUCAGUGCAACUUUAGGAUAUUAUGAUCCAGACACUCCAUUAUUUACCAGUAACAGGGUAACACGGGUUGUUCAUAAAUAAAAUGAACACACUAUAUAGUACAACUAAAAGCACUGUGCCCAUGUUACAAAUAGGAAACAUCAUUAAAAC